GGAAGUCAUAAGGCACGAUAUCACAAGGUGGAUGGAUUAGUUGGGGAAGGGCAGGAACAUAUCACAAGGUGGAUGGAUUAAUUAGGGUAGGGAAGGAACAUAUCACAAGGUGGAUGGAUUAGUUAGGGUAGGGCAGGAACAUGUCACAGUGGUGGAUGGAUUAGUUGGGGAAGGGCAGGAACAUAUCACAAGGUGGAUGGAUUAGUUAGGGUAGGGAAGGAACAUAUCACAAGGUGGAUGGAUUAGUUAGGGUAGGGCAGGAACAUGUCACAGUGGUGGAUGGAUUAGUUAGGGUAGGGCAGGAACAUGUCACAAGGUGGAUGGAUUAGUUAGGGUAGGGCAGGAACAUGUCACAAGGUGGAUGGAUUAGUUGGGGAAGGGCAGGAACAAUCACAAGGUGGAUGGAUUAGUUGGGGAAGGGCAGGAACAUAUCACAAGGUGGAUGGAUUAGUUGGGGAAGGGCAGGAACAUGUCACAAUGGUGGAUGGAUUAGUUGGGGAAGGGCAGGAACAUGUCACAAUGGUGGAUGGAUUAGUUGGGGAAGGGCAGGAACAUAUCACAAGGUGGAUGGAUUAGUUAGGGUAGGGCAGGAACAUGUCACAGUGGUGGAUGGAUUAGUUGAGGAAGGGCAGGAACAUGCCACAAGGUGGAUGGAUUAGUUGGGGAAGGGCAGGAACAUAUCACAAGGUGGAUGGAUUAGUUGGGGAAGGGCAGGAACAUAUCACAGUGGUGGAUGGAUUAGUUGGGGAAGGGCAGGAACAUAUCA
rnacentral:lncRNA from 10 species